rnacentral:misc_RNA from 1 species
UCUCCGUAGGUGAACCUGCGGAGGGAUCACUACAGGCUUGCAAAAGCUCUGAAAAAACUGUUUCUCUACCUGAAUCUGCUUCGGCGGGUGGCCCCAGCGCAGGGCCGUAGCCGUAAGGCGUCCGCCGAAGACCCCUAAACUCAGUCUUCUUUUGAACCUCUUAGUCAUUAUUUUAAACAAAAACAACUUUCAACAACGGAUCUCUUGGCUCUG